UACGUAGGUGGCAAGCGUUGUCCGGAUUUACUGGGCGUAAAGAGCGCGCAGGCGGUCGUCCAAGUCGCGUGUGAAAGCCCCCGGCUCAACUGGGGAGGGUCACGCGAUACUGGUCGACUCGAAGGCAGGAGAGGGUAGUGGAAUUCCCGGUGUAGUGGUGAAAUGCGUAGAUAUCAGGAGGAACACCGGUGGCGAAGGCGGGUCUCUGGGCCGAUACUGACGCUGAGGAGCGAAAGCGUGGGGAGCGAACAGG
rnacentral:rRNA from 1 species